rnacentral:rRNA from 1 species
CAUUACCGAGUGCGGGUCCUUUGGGCCCAACCUCCCAUCCGUGUCUAUUGUACCCUGUUGCUUCGGCGGGCCCGCCGCUUGUCGGCCGCCGGGGGGGCGCCUCUGCCCCCCGGGCCCGUGCCCGCCGGAGACCCCAACACGAACACUGUCUGAAAGCGUGCAGUCUGAGUUGAUUGAAUGCAAUCAGUUAAAACUUUCAACAAUGGAUCUCUUGGUUCCGGCAUCGAUGAAGAACGCAGCGAAAUGCGAUAACUAAUGUGAAUUGCAGAAUUCAGUGAAUCAUCGAGUCUUUGAACGCACAUUGCGCCCCCUGGUAUUCCGGGGGGCAUGCCUGUCCGAGCGUCAUUGCUGCCCUCAAGCCCGGCUUGUGUGUUGGGUCGCCGUCCCCCUCUCCGGGGGGACGGGCCCGAAAGGCAGCGGCGGCACCGCGUCCGAUCCUCGAGCGUAUGGGGCUUUGUCACAUGCUCUGUAGGAUUGGCCGGCGCCUGCCGACGUUUUCCAACCAUUCUUUCCAGGUUGACCUCGGAUCAGGUA